rnacentral:rRNA from 1 species
UACGAAGGGGGCUAGCGUUGCUCGGAAUCACUGGGCGUAAAGCGCACGUAGGCGGAUCGUUAAGUCAGGGGUGAAAUCCUGGAGCUCAACUCCAGAACUGCCUUUGAUACUGAAGAUCUUGAGUUCGGGAGAGGUGAGUGGAACUGCGAGUGUAGAGGUGAAAUUCGUAGAUAUUCGCAAGAACACCAGUGGCGAAGGCGGCUCACUGGCCCGAUACUGACGCUGAGGCACGAAAGCGUGGGGAGCAAACAGG